CCUACGGGGGGCAGCAGUAGGGAAUAUUGCUCAAUGGGGGAAACCCUGAAGCAGCAACGCCGCGUGGAGGAUGAAGGUUUUCGGAUUGUAAACCCCUUUUGUUAGAGAAGAAAAUGACGGUAUCUAACGAAUAAGCACCGGCCAAAUCCUUGCCAGCAGCCGCGGUAAUACGGAGGGAGCAAGCGUUACUCGGAAUCAAUGGGCGUAAAGAGCGCGUAUGCGGGAUAGCAAGUCAGAUGUGAAAUCCUAUGGCUUAACCAUAGAACUGCAUUUGAAACUGUUAUUCUAGAGUAUGGGAGAGGUAGGUGGAAUUCUUGGUGUAGGGGUAAAAGCCGUAGAGAUCGAGAGGAAUACUCAUUGCGAAGGCGACCUGCUAGAACAUAACUGACGCUGAGGCGCGAAAGCGUGGGGAGCAAACAGGAUUAGAUACCCGUGUAGUC
rnacentral:rRNA from 1 species